AGCUACAUUACCACCAGCAGUCUAAGUAAGGAGGCUCAGAGUUUGCUCUCCCCAGCCACUUGUUCCAGCUCCUCUGGGGGAACCCAUGGCAUUCCCAGACCAGCUGAGAAACAUUGUCAGCGUGUCCUAGGUCUUCCCCAGGCCUCCUCCUGGUGGGACGUACCCGGAACACCUCACCAGGGAGGCGUCCAGGAGGCAUCCUGACCAGAUGCA